rnacentral:rRNA from 1 species
GAAUUCACUAGUGAUUGGGCUGCAGUAUCCGAUGGCUUCGUUUGUCUGAGCGUCGUUU